AUGGAGGCUGCCAUGUCUGCAGUUGCAGGCGAACUCCUAAGCCGGUUCAUCUCCUUCCUGAUGAACAAGUACCACUACUCUAGCCAUACACAGUCAGAGAAGAUGGUGGAGAGGUUGCAGCAUCUUCUGAUGAGAGCUUGCACCAUCGUCGAGGAGGCGGACACACGAUACAUAACCAACUCUGGGAUGUUGAUGCAGCUCAAGAUGCUCUCAGAGGCCAUGUAUAGAGGAUACAGCGUGAUGGAUACCUUGAGGUACCAUACCCUUCAAGACAGUGCAGGCUUCGACGAGGUUAGCAUCAACGACACAUCUAGCAGCAGCUUAUAUUUCACCAUUCCUUUCAAGCGCUCUCGAACAAUAACUCGGAAAGAUGGCAAGGCCAUGCGCCAUGAGCCAUAUGGUGCCUUGGAAAGAUUAGAAGUCGCUGUUGCUAAUAUGGCAGAAUUUGUCGUGCUUCUGGGUGGAUGCGAGCGCAUGUCUCGCAGGCCAUACGACAUUUAUCUUUACACCGACAACUUCAUGUUCGGCCGACACGCUGAAAAACAAUAUCUUUUGAGCUUCUUGUUGCAGCAAAACCCUCCUGGUGAUGCACCGAUCGUUAUUCCUAUGAUAGGUGGUGCCAAAGUUGGGAAGAAGUCUUUGGUUGCUCAUGCAUGUGGCGACGAAAGGGUUCGUUCACGCUUCUCUUCUGUUUUGCACUUGAAUGGAGACAGCCUAUUGAGAAUAUUUGACCAUGGAAAGACCAUGUUUGGGUUGACAAUGUUGGUUGUUAUUGAGUUUGCUUCUGAUGUCUGCGAUGAUGACUGGAAAAAGUUUCAAUCGUUUCUCAUAAGCAUGGACAGAGGGAGUAAGAUCAUAAUCAUAAGUAAACUUAAAAUAUUAGCCCGGUUUGGAUCAGUGAAACCAAUUUUCCUUAAGGUUCUAUCUUAUGAUGAGAUGAGGUACCUUUUCAAGGCAAUGGCAUUCGGGAGCGUAGACCCCGCGGAACAUCCACAGCUAGUACAAAUAGCAGAUGAAUUUGUCAAGGUGGUGCACGAUGUGCGAGGUUCACUCGUCGAAAUAAAUGUGUUCGCGGAUGUCCUGAGAAUGAAUCUCCAUGUUCAGUUUUGGCGUAGCGUAUUGAACAAGGGUAUAAGAUACUUUAAAAGGAACCUCUCUAUAUAUGGUGUGCACCCAGGCAUUCUUAUAGAACAAGGCCAUCUAGUGGACAUUUCUGACUUUGCUUUGCAUCCACUUAGCAUGACAUUGGGGGAACCACUAGUUAAUGUUUCAAUCAAGGAGGAACCACCAAGUGUUGCAUUAGCGGAACUUCUAGCAAAUCCUAGUAUCAGACCAGAAGGAGACUUCACCUUAAUUGCAUGGAAAUCAAGGAUAGCGCCUCAUAAAUCAUUCACUCAUUAUGUUACAAGCCAUGCUCCGGAAACAUAUGAAGGUAGCAAGUUGGAAGGUAGUGCCUUGCCAAGGAGGAAGCGACGAGGAGUGUCAAUCUAA
rnacentral:rRNA from 1 species